rnacentral:rRNA from 1 species
CCUACGGGGGGCAGCAGUGGGGAAUAUUGGACAAUGGUGGCAACCCUGAUCCAGCCAUGCCGCGUGUGUGAAGAAGGCCCUCGGGUUGUAAAGCACUUUCAGUGAGGAAGAACGCCUGGUGGUUAAUACCCAUCAGGAAAGACAUCACUCACAGAAGAAGCACCGGCUAACUCCGUGCCAGCAGCCGCGGUAAUACGGAGGGUGCGAGCGUUAAUCGGAAUUACUGGGCGUAAAGCGCGCGUAGGUGGCUUGAUAAGCCGGUUGUGAAAGCCCCGGGCUCAACCUGGGAACGGCAUCCGGAACUGUCAAGCUAGAGUGCAGGAGAGGAAGGUAGAAUUCCCGGUGUAGCGGUGAAAUGCGUAGAGAUCGGGAGGAAUACCAGUGGCGAAGGCGGCCUUCUGGACUGACACUGACACUGAGGUGCGAAAGCGUGGGUAGCAAACAGGAUUAGAUACCCUGGUAGUC